rnacentral:rRNA from 1 species
CCUACGGGAUGCAUCAGUGCGGAAUAUUGGUCACUGUGCGGGAGCCUGAACCAGCCAAGCCGCGUGAGGGAAGAAGGUACAGCGUAUCGUAAACCUCUUUUGUCAGGGAACAAAGGCGGGGACUCGUCCCCGGCUGAGGGUACCUGAAGAAAAAGCAUCGGCUAACUCCGUGCCAGCAGCCGCGGUAAUACGGGGGAUGCGAGCGUUAUCCGGAUUUAUUGGGUUUAAAGGGUGCGCAGGCGGCCUGUUAAGUCAGCGGUAAAAGCCCGGGGCUCAACCCCGGCGAGCCGUUGAAACUGGCGGGCUGGAGUUGGAGAGAAGUACGCGGAAUGCGCGGUGUAGCGGUGAAAUGCUUAGAUAUCGCGCAGAACCCCGAUUGCGAAGGCAGCGUACCGGCUCCACACUGACGCUGAGGCACGAAAGCGUGGGUAUCGAACAGGAUUAGAUACCCCAGUAGUC